ACUCUCUCGUGGCUCUGCCAGACAGAAGAGCUGCUAGCCGUGACCAUUGCUCUCGUUCAUGUAAUGCUAGAUAUGUGGAUUGUGUUACCAUACUUGGAGUGAUGGAGUGUCAACACAGACUCUGGACCGUGUUAAGUUGCUGAGCCGGACCACGACCAUCACAGAUCCUGAUUCAGCACACUUCAUCGUUACCGCCGGAAGUGGACACAAGGAUCUGACCUGGCUAAUUAGACGCAAUUACAUACUUACGUCGUAGAUGUGGUCCAUGUUGUCACGAUGGUGUUACUGAAGCUGCAGCGUAGUUCGUGAAGAUCUUCCAAGGAAAAUCUGAUGUCAGCUGUGUUUCGAAGGAAGCGUUUUCUACGAACCAGUUUUGGCGUUACCUUAUUUUGUUUCUGUCAACCAAACACGCACGAGGGUUUCCCAGAUUAACCUUCAACAAAGGCGUGAUUACAUAACUGUUAUCCUUCGCACAUGAAUUAGUGAAAUACAACCAUGCUCAA
rnacentral:misc_RNA from 1 species